rnacentral:lncRNA from 11 species
CCUGUUUGCUGGAGGUGCACGGAAAUGGAUAUGGGGGUCUAUUGGCAUCUGGCCAGCAGAAACAAAUUGAGGUUCAGCCGAAAUGCACACACCUAGGAAAUGCUCUGCCAAGUUUCAGCUUAUAUCCCAGGUAUGAACAGCAAGUCAUGCACUCUCAGCCUUAGAGGAAGACAAUGGCAAAACUCUGACCACAUCUUGCUAAGAAAACCCUGUGACCAUCAGUCAGAAAUGACCUAAAGUAU